CGUUUCAUACAAUCAGAAAGGAGAUUGGCGAAUUCCAUAGAGUUUCAGACCCAAACUAACAGAACUGUGGGCCUCAAGUCCACGUUCACAAAUCAAAC